UACGUAGGGUGCGAGCGUUGUCCGGAAUUACUGGGCGUAAAGAGCUCGUAGGUGGUUUGUCGCGUUGUCCGUGAAAACUCACAACUCAAUUGUGGGCGUGCGGGCGAUACGGGCAGACUGGAGUACUGCAGGGGGAGACUGGAAUUCCUGGUGUAGCGGUGGAAUGCGCAGAUAUCGGGAAGAACACCCGUGGCGAAGGCGGCUCUCUGGGACGGUACUGACGCUGAGACGCGAAAGCGUGGGGGAGCGAACAGG
rnacentral:rRNA from 1 species